CUUAUUUUGACACAAAGUCCAGCAUUUUUUCUUCUAGCAAAGCAUGACACGGUGAUUCAAAGUCUUUUUCGUGUUUGUUCCCCUGUAAGGUGAAGUUUCAGAACAAUGAAGUGAUUGUCCGAGAGGGAGCAGAGGGAAAUGCGUUUUACAUCAUUCUCAAAGGAGAGGUUUUAGUGACAAAAAAUGUGAACGGACAGCAGAAAUUCAUUCGUAAGAUGGGUGAGGGGGAACACUUUGGAGAACUGGCUCUAAUACGAGAGAUCCUCAGGACAGCCACAUGCACAGCGGUGGGAGCUGUCACUUGCUUUUCCAUUGAUAAAGAGGUUUUUGAGGAGACCAUUCCUUUUGAAAGCCUUGAGCUCCAUGAUGAGUGAGUUUUCCUGCUUUGAAACUUCUACAUUUGUAAAGAUU
rnacentral:lncRNA from 1 species